AUGGAUUUUUUUCUGGUGGACUUUGAUCCGAUCUUGCAGUGUUUUAUUAGCAUUUCUAAAGGUUAUUUGUGUUUAUCCGAGAAGAAUUUUAACAUUUAUGUCUGUCAUUGUGAUUUGUCCCCAGGUAUGCAGAAUGCAGUCCGCAGUGGGAUGGGUCUCCUUGGCAUGCACCCCACAGCUUCACUCACCCACCAGCUGCAUCAGUCUGGUCUGGCUGGGCAAAGAAUGCCAGGCAUGCUGCCUCUGGAUGUGCGACCUAACCUCCUCCAACCUGGGGCUGCCGGUCGCUUCCCACUCCUCAUGCAGCCGGGGCCAGUCCAGCAGGUUGCUGGCCUGCUUGAGAGUACCCUCCAGGCUCAAGCCCGUGCACGGGUUCCCUUCUCUCAGCUGGACCACUUCAACAGGGUCCCAAACCUUACCAAUGAAAAUGUAUCCAAGACAGAAGACGAGUCUUCCUCUGGAGCUGAUGAGGGAAAAGACCAGGACUACCGCUUCCCUCCAAUGGAAAAGCAGAGCACAGGCCUGCUCAGGACCCCUCCACCAGAGCAUAGGGAGGCCCAUGGAGGUGGAGGCGGAGCAGGAGGUGCUGUAGGGGGCAGGCCGCCAUUGCUCCAGACCCCAGGGGCUCAGCCAGGCAGAACAAGCCUAGUGGGACGUCUGCAGGCUCUCGCAGGCUUCACGCCUGAUAACCGCUGGAACCAGACCAGAGGGGACUUUGAUGAAAGAGAUAGCAUGCGAGGAAGCCUCCCGGCCCCAGGCGGUCUAAAAGGCUUCCAGGAAGAACGGCCCACACCCGGGCAGAACUUCCCCAACCGCUUUGACAGCCGUCCUGGGACAGCAGGAGGAGCAGCUGGAGUUUCAGGCAAUGCUGGAGCUGUUGGGGGUCCGCAGGCCUGGAACCGUGGUGGUAGUAGUAGUAGUAGUAGUGGUGGAGGUAGUGGUAGUGGUGGUGGAGGUGGUGGUGGAGGAGGAGGAGGAGGUGGUGGAGGAGGUGGAGGAGGAGCCGCCGCAACACCGUUUGACAGCGAACAACAUCAAGACUUAGAUGAGCGAAGACGCCCGUGGGAAAGGCAAAGAGACAGAGAUGAAAGAGAGAGAGAUUUUGACUUCAGAAGGGAGAUGAAUGGCAACCGUCACAGCAGAGAAAGAGAGAGAGAGAGGGACCGCGAGAGGGACAGAGACAGGGAACGAGGCAGAGACCGCCCCAGAGAGCAUGAACGUGACAGAGACCGUGACAAAGAGAGAGACCGUGAGAGGGAACGUGAACGUGGGGGCUGGACACCUCUCCUCCCUCUUCCUACGCCACUGCUUCCAACUCCAACUCUUAAUCCCAAUUUGACCCUGAACCAAGGCAAACUGCUUGCACCACUCAAAUUGAACCCCCAGAUUCAGUCUCGAUUCCAGUCUCCACUCCUGCCUCAAGCUCAGGCCAAACCCUCUCUCUUGGGUCAGCCGCUGCCUCAGGUUCAGAUUAAGUCUCCACCUCCAUCACAGAGCCAGGCAGCUGCUUCCGAUCCCCAGUCAGAAACCCCAGCUCGGUCUGAGACAUCUAAGGCACAGUCACCACCCUCAGCCCAUUCACCUGACCGGUCAUCUGACAACAAAGAUCAGAGCCCAUUGACUGAGGCUCAAACCCUGGUAGAGUCAUCACCGCAACCUGAGACUCCCCCACAAACAGAAUCACCAUCCCAGUCCCCAUCCCAGUCUCCGGUCCAGUCUCCGGCCCAGUCCCCAUCCCAGUCCCCAUCCCAGUCCCCAUCCCAGUCCCCAGCCCAGUCCCCAGCCCAGUCCCCAGCCCAGUCCCCAGCCCAGUCCCCAGCCCAGUCCCAGCCCAGUCCCCAGCCCAGUCCCCCUUCAAAACCACUGCUUCUCCAGACACUGAGACCCCAAGCCAAGCAUCACCGCUGGUUGAGGCCUCACCCCAGGACUCACCUGUGGCCUUCACACAAGCUGCCAGCUCUCCUGAAGAGACUCACUCUCUGGAGGAGCAGGAAAGCCCACAGCACGAUGAAGAGGAGUCACAAGAGAAACCUUCCUCACCCCAACCCCAGUGGAUCAAUGGAGCUGGGAUAG
ensembl:lncRNA